rnacentral:misc_RNA from 1 species
GAUGAAGAACGCAGCGAAAUGCGAUAACUAGUGUGAAUUGCAGAAUUCAGUGAAUCAUCGAAUCUUUGAACGCACAUUGCGCCCUCUGGUAUUCCGGAGGGCAUGCCUGUUCGAGCGUCAUUAUAACCACUCAAGCUCUCGCUUGGUAUUGGGGUUCGCGGUUCCGCGGCCCCUAAAAUCAGUGGCGGUGCCUGUCGGCUCUACGCGUAGUAAUACUCCUCGCGAUUGAGUCCGGUAGGUCUACUUGCCAGCAACCCCCAAUUUUUACAGGUUGACCUCGGAUCAGGUAGGGAUACCCGCUGAACUUAAGCAUAUCAAUAAGCGGAGGA